GAGACCCGGGCCAGACUGAGUCCCUAGCGGCCCAUUACCCCGCCGGGCUCGUCCCAGACACCUUUGAUGGCUGCCCUUUGCCCCGUCUGGUCUGAGCGGACAAACGAGGGAAAUUGAGUAAGCCAGCUCAGCAAGACAGGAAACUCCUGGCCGCUUUGUUACUCAUGAUUUUCAGCAACUUGGGGAGUGGGGGGCAGGGGAGGGGAGUCCUAGGGGAAUUUCUGUAGUUCAAGAAGUUUGGGGGCUCCAGGACUGGGAGUGCCCUCGGGGAGGUCUACCUCCCGGGGCAGGUCUAUUUCCCAGGCCAGGUACCGUAGUUGGCACUAGUAAGUAAGUGCUCCACAAAUUCGUGUUAACAUGCAUUUUCAAGAAUGCAAUUUAUUUAAUUUUCAAGUCUUCAGUCCCAGCUACUCCGUAGGCUGAGGCGGGAGGACCCCUUUAGCCCAGGAGGUCAAGGCUGCAGUGAGCUACGAUCUUGCCACUGCAUUCCAGCCUGGGUGACAUAGCUAGACUGGUCUCAAAAAAAAAAAAAAAAAAAGGCAUUUUCUCACCUACCUGCUUUGAGUGCCUGCCAGAAAGAAUCUCCAGGUGAAAGGGGACAGGUUUAGGGCUGGAGCUGAAGGCUGGCAUUUGGGGUUUGAGGUUCUGCGUUUGGCAUUGGUUUGCUGUUUCACUUGGGCAAAUCUCUUGGCCUCUCUGGGCUGCGUUUCUGUAGGGAAUCAGUAAUAAGGCAACCUGUCUGGCUCUAAGGCUCAGAGGCACGGGGCAGGCUUUGAAUUUCCAGCAAGCAGGAGAAAGAGCCUUUGAUUUGAAGCAGAGAUUUCCUCUUGAACAUUAAUAUUCUGGGCUUUUCCAGGCUGGAGCUUUAGAACCGCUGUUACUAAACUAAGUGACAUGAGUAGCCCCCCGUUGCUUACAGAAUUUCUUGGCUUGGCAUUUGGGGUUUUCUCACGUUGAUUCUACCCUGCCUGUAUGGCUUAACCCCCAACUACACCCCUACACUGUAAUUAGGAAGAGCCUCAGACUUCCCCACACACCCCACACAAUGUUCAGACUUCUGUGCCCUCACUCAUGCUGUUCCUUCUGCCCGGAAUGCUUUUCCCUACACUCUUCAAAUGAUUGGCUCUUUCUCAUAUUGAUCCCCACAUAAAUGUUACUUGAGUAGAGAUCCUGUUAUUAACUCUCAGAGCUUCCUGUUUUCUCUCUUUAGCUCUUACUGCAGUUCAGAAUUCGAAGUUGCUUUCUCCACCGGGCUGAAAGGUCGAUGAGGGAGAGAUCAUGUCUGUUUUCCUCAUCUCCACAUACCCAGCACUUACCAAGGUGCCUGGCAUACACUAAGAGAUCAAUAAAUAUAUAUGGAAAGGGGCCGGGCGCAGUGGCUUAUGCCUGUAAUCCCAGCACUUUGGGAGGUCGAGGCAGGCAGAUCACCUGAGGUCAGGAGUUGGAGACUAGCCUGGCCAACGUGGUGAAACCCUGUCUCUACUAAAAAUACAAAAAUUAGCCGGUUGUGGUGACACGUGCCUGUAAUCCCAGCUACUUGGGAGACUGAGGCAGGAGAAUAGCUUGAAUCCGGGAGGCGGAGGUUGCAGUGAGCCGAGAUCAUGCCAUUGCACUCCAGCCUGGAUGACGAGCAAAACUCCAUCUCAAAAAAUAAUAAUAAUAAAGGCCAGGCACGGUGGCUCACACCUGUAAUCCCAGCACUUUGGGAGGCCAAAGAGGGUGGAUCACAAGGUCAGGAGAUUGAGAGCAUUCUGGCCAACAUGAUGAAACCCCGUCUCUACUAAAAAUACAAAAAUUAGCCAGGUGUGGUGGCGCAUGCCUGUAAUCCCAGCUACUCAGGAGGCUGAGGCAGGAGAAUCUCUUGAACUCAGGAGGCGGAGGUUGCAGUGAGCCGAGAUCACAUCAUUGCACUCCAGCCCAGGCAACAGAGUGAGACUCCAUCUCAAAAAAUAAUAAUAAUAAUAAUUAAAUAAAUAAAUAAAUAUGGAAAGGAGGAAAGAAUGAAUGAUUGAUUAGCAAAACAUGAAAACAUUUUCUAAAAAGAUGGGUGGGCAUGCAUGUAUGUAAAUAAAGACAUAGUUAUGUCUGUAAACAUAAGAAAAAGUCAAGACAGUAUACAACAACCUAAUUCCCCGCAAGGAGUAAGAUGCAGAUUUCUGAUGGUUUAUUGUAUAUUCAAGUCUUGCUUAAAGGUCAUCUAUUCUGUAGGUCUCUGGUCCUGCCUGUGUGCUGUGCUAUAUCUGAGCAUGCUGCCAGGCACCCUGAAGCCAGGCCUGAUGCUCCCUCCUGAUCCAGUCCUAAUGAUCCUGCCUGAGGCCAGGCAGAGGGACAGAUGGCAGCAGCCCCUCGUGUGCCUGAGUUUGUCCACUGGUGCAGGUGAAAGCAGAGAUGGUAAGGACAAUGACAGUGCAGGACUGACACCAGGCCACCCAUCCCCACCCAGCAGGUGCCAUCGCCGCACGUGGCCUUGGGCUAUCAGCAGAGCUUCAAUGUGACAGGAAGCCUGGCCUCCUGCAAGGCUGGGCCCAGCUGGCUCACUUCCAGGUUCAAGACAGAGCCUCGGCUGUGGGAGGCACAACAGGCAGCUUUUCACUGCUCUCGGGGUGCCUAGGUGAGGGGCAACCUUUUUUUCUUUUUUUUGAGAUGGA
rnacentral:lncRNA from 1 species